rnacentral:lncRNA from 1 species
GCACGCGCGAGCUUCGAGACGGCAGUACGCAUGCGCGAAUUUCGAGACAUUAGUACGCAUGCGCGAGCUUUGAGACGGCAGUACGCAUGCGCGACAUUAUGGACUGCAGUACGCAUGCGCGGGUCUCGGUACGGCAGUACGUAUGCACGAGCCGCGAGCCGGUAGUACGCAUGCGCGAUACUAUGGUCGGCAGUACGCAUGCACGAACUUCGAGACGGCAAUACGCAUGCGCGAGGCGCGAGACGGUAGUACGCAUGCGCGAGACCAUAGACGUUAUUACGCAUGCGCGGCAUUAUAGACGGCAAUACGCAUGCGCGACAUUAUGGACAGCAGUACGCAUGUGCGAGCAUCGAAACGGCAGUACACAUGCGCGACAUUAUGGAAGGCAGUACGCAUGCGCAGGUCUCGAUACGGCAGUACGCAUGCGCGAGCCGCGAGCCGGUAGUACGCAUGCGCGACACCAUGGACGUCAGUACGCAUGCACGAACUUCGAGACGGCAGUACGCAUGCGCGAGACCAUAGACGGUAUUACGCAUGCGCGUCAUUAUAGACGGCAGUACGCAUGCGCGACAUUAUGGAAGGCAGUACGCAUGCGCGAGCUGCUUACCGGCAGUACGCAUGCGCGAGAUUCGAGACGGCAGUACGCAUGCGCGACAUUAUGGAGGGCAGUACGCAUGCGCGACAUGACAGACAACAUUACGCAUGCGCUACAUUAUGGACGGCAGUACGCAUGCGCGACAUUAUGGACGGCAGUACGCAUGCGCGACAUCAUAGACGGCAGUACGCAUGCGCGAGUCGACUCCGGCAAUACGCAUGCGCGAGCUUCGGGACGGCAGUACGCAUGCGCAAAUCUCGACUCGGCAGUACGCAUGCGCGAUCGCUGGGACGGUAGUACGCAUGCGCGACAUCGUAGACGGCAGUACGCACGCACGGGACUAUAGACGGCAGUGCACAUGCGCGGGCUUCGAGACGGUAGUACGCAUGCGCGACAUUAUGGACGGCAGUACGCAUGCGCGAGCCGCAUGACGGCAAUACGCAUGCGCGGCAUUAUAGACGGCAGUACGCAUGCCCGUGUCGCGAGACGGCAGUACGCAUGCGCGACAUUAUAGACCGCAGUAUACACGCGCGGCAUUAUAGACGUCAGUACGCAUGCGCGAGCUUCGGGACGGCAGUACGCAUGCGCGAGUUGCAAAAUGGCAGUACGCAUGCGCGACAGUAUAGACUGCAGUACGCGUGCGCGACAUUAUGGACGGCAAUAGGCAUGCGCGUCAUUAUGGACGGCAGUACGCAUUAGCGAGCGUUGAGACUGUAGUACGCAUGCGCGUCAUUAGAGACGGCAAUACGCAUGCGCGAGAUUCGAGACGGUAGUACGCAUGCGCGGCAUUAUGGACGGCAGUACGCAUGCGCAAACUUCGAGACGGCAGUACGCAUGUGCGACAUUAUGGACAGCGGUAUGCAUGCGCGAGCCGCGUGACGGAACAGUACGCAUGCGCGAGCCGCGAGACGGCAGUACGCAUGCGCGAUAUUAUGGAGGACAGUACGCAUGCGUGACAUCAUAGACGGCAGUACGCAAGCGCGUGUCUCGAGACAGUAGUAUGCAUGCGCGAGAUUCUAGACGGUAGUACGCAUGUGCGAGCCGGAGCCGGCAGUACGCAUGCCCGACAUUAUAGAUGGUAGUACGCAUGCGCGACAUUAUGUACGGCAAUGCGCAUGCACGAGCGGCGAGACGGCACUACACAUGCGCGAGGUUCGAGACGGCAGUACGCAUGCGCGAUCCACCAGCCGGCAGUACGCAUGCGCCGGUCUCGACACGGCAGUACGCAUGCGCGAGGUCCAUAACGGCAUUAAGCAGGCGCGAUCCCCGAUACCGUACUACGCAUGCGCAAACCGCGGAAGGGCAGCACGCAUGUAGUAAGAGCGGAAGUGCUGUACGCAUGCGCGACGUCCGAAAAUGCAGUACGCAUCCACGAGCCUUGGAACGGCAUUACUCAUGCGCAAGCCCCGAGACGGCAGUACGCAUUCGCGGGAUUCGAGAGGGCAGUACGCAUGCGCGUGCCGCGAGACUAUGGUACUAAUACGUGCUAUUGUAAUAUGUAGUACUACUAUGCAGUACUAUUACGUACUAUACAUACAUAAUAGGUAAUAGGGAGCAUAUCCGUAUGCAAUAGGAGCAUACGCCCGACAACUUAAAAAGAGCAACUCUUUCUCUAACAGCGGCGC